rnacentral:tRNA from 1 species
GCAUUGGUGGUUUAGUGGUAGAACUCUCACCUUCCACACAGGAGAUCUGGGUUUGAUUCCUGGCCAAGGCU